rnacentral:hammerhead_ribozyme from 1 species
GUGCUGAUGAAGAAUUCCAGAGUAGGACGAAACAGCUGUCCAGUAC